AUGCAUGAAUUAUAUUGUAAAAUCUUUUGAAUUGAAUAAAUUUUAGCAUAAGAGUUGUCCAAAUGGGGUGGAAAUACUACAUGCAUGAUUUACUAUAUGUUAUGAUGAUUUACUCUCACUGAAAAUGACAAGCAUAAGAAACGUGUAUGCAAGCAAGCAAUGGUUUGCACCCGCAAACUUGCAUACCCACAAUUUGACUUCAUUUGCAUUCAUACCCUCAAACGUGCAUAUUGCUGUGAUUGUAGACAUUGCAA
rnacentral:misc_RNA from 1 species